rnacentral:rRNA from 1 species
UACGAAGGGGGCGAGCGUUGUUCGGAUUUACUGGGCGUAAAGGGCGCGUAGGCGGCGCGAGAAGUCGAGUGUGAAAUCCCGGAGCUUAACUUCGGAACUGCCUUUGAUACUGGGUGUCUUGAGUGUGAGAGAGGUAUGUGGAACUCCGAGUGUAGAGGUGAAAUUCGUAGAUAUUCGGAAGAACACCAGUGGCGAAGGCGACAUGCUGGCUCAUUACUGACGCUGAGGCUCGAAAGCGUGGGGAGCAAACAGG